rnacentral:rRNA from 1 species
AAUUUGGAGAGUUUGAUCCUGGCUCAGGACGAACGCUGGCGGCGUGCCUAAUACAUGCAAGUCGAGCGGGCUUGAUGAAGUGCUUGCACUUCUGAUAGUUAGCGGCGGACGGGUGAGUAACACGUAGGUAACCUGCCUAUAAGACUGGGAUAACAUUCGGAAACGAAUGCUAAUACCGGAUACACGAUUUGGUCGCAUGGCCGAAUCGGGAAAGACGGAGCAAUCUGUCACUUAUAGAUGGACCUGCGGCGCAUUAGCUAGUUGGUGAGGUAACGGCUCACCAAGGCGACGAUGCGUAGCCGACCUGAGAGGGUGAUCGGCCACACUGGGACUGAGACACGGCCCAGACUCCUACGGGAGGCAGCAGUAGGGAAUCUUCCGCAAUGGACGAAAGUCUGACGGAGCAACGCCGCGUGAGUGAUGAAGGUUUUCGGAUCGUAAAGCUCUGUUGCCAGGGAAGAACGCUUGGGAGAGUAACUGCUCUCAAGGUGACGGUACCUGAGAAGAAAGCCCCGGCUAACUACGUGCCAGCAGCCGCGGUAAUACGUAGGGGGCAAGCGUUGUCCGGAAUUAUUGGGCGUAAAGCGCGCGCAGGCGGUUAAUUAAGUC